UACGAAGGGGGCAAGCGUUGUUCGGAAUCACUGGGCGUAAAGCGCACGUAGGCGGAUCUUUAAGUCAGGGGUGAAAUCCCAAGGCUCAACCUUGGAACUGCCUUUGAUACUGAGGAUCUUGAGUACGGGAGAGGUGAGUGGAACUGCGAGUGUAGAGGUGAAAUUCGUAGAUAUUCGCAAGAACACCAGUGGCGAAGGCGGCUCACUGGCCCGGUACUGACGCUGAGGUGCGAAAGCGUGGGGAGCAAACAGGG
rnacentral:rRNA from 1 species